rnacentral:rRNA from 1 species
CCUACGGGAGGCAGCAGUGGGGAAUAUUGCACAAUGGGGGAAACCCUGAUGCAGCGACGCCGCGUGAGUGAAGAAGUAUUUCGGUAUGUAAAGCUCUAUCAGCCGGGAAGAAAAUGACGGUACCUGAUUAAGAAGCCCCGGCUAACUACGUGCCAGCAGCCGCGGUAAUACGUAGGGGGCAAGCGUUAUCCGGAUUUACUGGGUGUAAGGGGAGCGUAGACGGCAGCACAAGUCUGGAGUGAAAUGCCGGGGCUUAACCCCGGAACUGCUUUGGAAACUGUGCAGCUAGAGUGCAGGAGAGGUAAGUGGAAUUCCUAGUGUAGCGGUGAAAUGCGUAGAUAUUAGGAGGAACACCAGUGGCGAAGGCGGCUUACUGGACUGUAACUGACGUUGAGGCUCGAAAGCGUGGGGAGCAAACAGGAUUAGAUACCCCUGUAGUC